rnacentral:rRNA from 1 species
GACGGAGGAUGCAAGCGUUAUCCGGAAUGAUUGGGCGUAAAGCGUCCGCAGGUGGCAGUUCAAGUCUGCUGUCAAAGACCGGGGCUUAACCCCAGAAAGGCAGUGGAAACUGAAGUGCUAGAGUGCAGUAGGGGUAGAGGGAAUUCCCGGUGUAGAGGUGAAAUUCGUAGAUAUCGGGAGGAACACCAGUGGCGAAGGCGGCGACCUGGGCCAAUAUUGACGCUGAGACGCGAAAGCGUGGGGAGCGAACAGG